UAGGUCAAAAAAUAAUAAAUAAAAAUGAUAUUAAUUGUGAUGACCAAGAGAUUCAUUUUAAGACACAUCAAUCUUCAUCAUCUUUAAAUAAAAAGGAUAAAUAUGAUGGAUUUCCAUUAUCUCAAGCAAAAACAAAGAGUUCAAAAUAUUGGUGGUAAGAGUUGUCAAAAAUCUGUGAUAGCUAUGAUGAAGAGUUUUAUGACAAAUUCACUCAUGGCCAAAUUUAAUAUGGCAGCUGGAAAAGGCAAAGGUUUAACAUACAACGACUUCAAAAAGUACAGGUCCAGGCACCCUGAGCUUUACUUUGAUAAGUCUUGAAAGAGUUGGUUCAUGUGAAGACGGAAGGAAUGUCUGAAGGAAUCUGUUAGUUGGUCUGUUAAACCUCCAUGCAAGGGUGCUUGGUACCAAAAUAGAAAAGAUAGUGGCCUUAGUGGUUAAUGGAGCCAACCAGAUGAGAUCGAGAAAAAAAAGUAGGAAAAAGAAAAUUGCUUUACAAAAGUUCAAUUCUUACUUUUGGUCGGAGGAUGUGCGCGCUACUAAUGUAAAGAACAGUAAAGAUGUUGGUUCGGUGACCAAUUUAGCCGCAGCCUUCCGAUACGGAGAGAUAUAGACCGAUAGCGGAAAUAUAGAGACCGAUGUCGGUCUCUAACGUGGUAUAAAAAAUAUCGAUCGUCUAGCCAAAGUCAUAUCUAAAUAAUUGAAACUUUUAGACUUUAAUGCUGAACUUUUAGACUUUAAUGCUGAAUUAUGUAAAGUGGUAUGAAAUUCACCUAAUUAAGGUCAUGGUAAGUUUAGUAGCAA